GAUGAUUACAAAGAUGUCUCCCUUUGUUUCUCUGUUGCAUAACUUGUAUAGUUAGAUUUUUUUUUUAAGUAUCUAGUUAAUGUCAGGCAUGGAUUCUGUUGAUUAUGGCCAGCUAGACAAUUCUUUGCUUACUUUGUAUAAACAAGCCUCUCUUAUCAAACUAUUCUCUUUUUCUUGGAUCUCUUUUUUAUUUGCAGGGAGAAGAUAUGAAGGAGAUUGAUAGUCUGAAAGACAGGAUAACAAAACUCCAAUUGAGACAAAUGAGGAUGCUGGGUAAAGAUUUAUCAAACUUGAGCUUGAAAGAAGUGCAGCAGCUGGAAAAGCAACUCAGUGAAAGCCUACUGUCUGUAAAAGCUAAGAAGGACCAAUUGCUGAUGGAACAACCCGAGCAUUCACGCAGGCAGGUACUUCACAGUAUUUAUAUGACUAAAUAGUUAUAAUUUUUGUUUGAUGUAUGUUGUUGGUCUUGUGACAUGGUACUAUGUGUUUUACCUAAGACUAAAGAUGCAGUUUUUACCUAUUUUUUUAAUAAUUUAGGAGCAGAGGGCCUUACCAGACAAGUAACUAUAUUUCUUUCUCCCAUUCAUGUGAUCGAGUUUUACUGUGUGGGGUGGACUAAUAUAGCAGUUUUAAAUCUGUAUUUUUAUGAUCUGUAGAUUUAUGAGCUUAGAGGAUUUCAUACACCAUCUGAACGCCCGAAACCUAUGUAUCUUGAGUACUACCCCAUAGCAACCAAGGUUUCUUCUGCGACGAACGGGACUUCAGGUUCUGAUGGAGACUGCAACAGUGAAUUCGACAAAACAUAUUCUGAUGUUACUUUGCACCUAGGCCAGGGUACUCCUCUUUUCCCCAAAUUUCAUAAAUUAGUUUUUUCAAAUGGUUUGAUUUAAAAUUGUUGCUUCUUACAUUCAGGCUACCAUGUGACAACAUUCGAAAGAGGAAAGCAAUCGAGAGGUAGUGCUGAAGCCUAGAAGAGUCUAUCUGGUUGUCCUUCUCUGCCUCAUUGCUAGCUGCUGCUCAAAUUGGCACCAGAAAUAGCAUGUUUUGAAAUCGGAAAUGGAGCUGAAGUUAGAAGAGAAGAAACGACUAGUAGCUGAAAUUGGACGAGUUAUUGAUUUCUGCUAAAAAAAACAAUCUUCAGUACGUCAAAUGCGGCUGACUAAGGUAUAUA